CAGCAGCCGCGGUAAUACGUAGGGUGCGAGCGUUAAUCGGAAUUACUGGGCGUAAAGCGUGCGCAGGCGGUUAUAUAAGACAGAUGUGAAAUCCCCGGGCUCAACCUGGGACCUGCAUUUGUGACUGUAUAGCUAGAGUGUGUCAGAGGGGGGUAGAAUUCCACGUGUAGCAGUGAAAUGCGUAGAUAUGUGGAGGAAUACCGAUGGCGAAGGCAGCCCCCUGGGAUAACACUGACGCUCAUGCACGAAAGCGUGGGGAGCAAACAGGAUUAGAGACCCCAGUAGUCCCUGUCUCUUAUAC
rnacentral:rRNA from 1 species